rnacentral:rRNA from 1 species
UACAGAGGGUGCGAGCGUUAAUCGGAAUUACUGGGCGUAAAGCGCACGUAGGUGGCGACGUAAGUCGGGUGUGAAAGCCCCGGGCUCAACCCAGGAAGUGCAUUCGAAACUGCGAAGCUGGAGUCCUGGAGAGGAAGGCGGAAUUCUCGGUGUAGAGGUGAAAUGCGUAGAUAAUCUGGAGGAACACCGGUGGCGAAGGCGGCAUCCUGGACCAAUAUUGACGCUGAGGAGCGAAAGCCAGGGGAGCAA